rnacentral:rRNA from 1 species
CCUACGGGAGGCAGCAGUGGGGAAUUUUGGACAAUGGGCGAAAGCCUGAUCCAGCAAUGCCGCGUGAGUGAAGAAGGCCUUCGGGUUGUAAAGCUCUUUUGUCAGGGAAGAAACGGUGAGAGCUAAUAUCUCUUGCUAAUGACGGUACCUGAAGAAUAAGCACCGGCUAACUACGUGCCAGCAGCCGCGGUAAUACGUAGGGUGCAAGCGUUAAUCGGAAUUACUGGGCGUAAAGCGUGCGCAGGCGGUUUUGUAAGUCUGAUGUGAAAUCCCCGGGCUCAACCUGGGAAUUGCAUUGGAGACUGCAAGGCUAGAAUCUGGCAGAGGGGGGUUAGAAUUCCACGUGUAGCAGUGAAAUGCGUAGAUAUGUGGAGGAACACCGAUGGCGAAGGCAGCCCCCUGGGUCAAGAUUGACGCUCAUGCACGAAAGCGUGGGGAGCAAACAGGAUUAGAUACCCUGGUAGUCCACGCCCUAAACGAUGUCUACUAGUUGUCGGGUCUUAAUUGACUUGGUAACGCAGCUAACGCGUGAAGUAGACCGCCUGGGGAGUACGGUGCAAGNUUAAAACUCAAAUGAGUAGAGNGNGAGACGAGCGAGGACGACGACGAGGGAGGAGG